AGUCUUUUACUCCCUGGAGAUAAGCCUUCGCGGGGUUCGCAGGACUGCGUCCUCCUGGGCCCCUUUUUCCUUUUUUCUUCUACCUGGGGGUUGUGGUGCCAAAUGCCUCUUGGGUUCCAACGUCUGGUGCCCUCUCAGGAGUUCCACCGGCAACGACCCGACGUGCAGGGACUGUGGCAGGGUUAUUGAGAUAGACCUGAUUGACGUAUGGUAACCUGCAUAUAUUUAUAGUGUGCAAUGCGGAAAGUUUCGACACUUUGCACACCU
rnacentral:lncRNA from 1 species